CCUACGGGAGGCUUCAGUGGGGAAUAUUGGACAAUGGGCGAAAGCCUGAUCCAGCCAUGCCGCGUGUGUGAAGAAGGCCUUCGGGUUGUAAAGCACUUUCAGUGGGGAAGAAAGCCUUGGGGCUAAUACCCUCGAGGAAGGACAUCACCCACAGAAGAAGCACCGGCUAACUCCGUGCCAGCAGCCGCGGUAAUACGGAGGGUGCGAGCGUUAAUCGGAAUUACUGGGCGUAAAGCGCGCGUAGGCGGUCUGAUAAGCCGGUUGUGAAAGCCCCGGGCUCAACCUGGGAACGGCAUCCGGAACUGUCAGGCUAGAGUGCAGGAGAGGAAGGUAGAAUUCCCGGUGUAGCGGUGAAAUGCGUAGAGAUCGGGAGGAAUACCAGUGGCGAAGGCGGCCUUCUGGACUGACACUGACGCUGAGGUGCGAAAGCGUGGGUAGCAAACAGGAUUAGAUACCCUGGUAGUC
rnacentral:rRNA from 1 species